rnacentral:tRNA from 1 species
AGCCUAGUGGUUAAGGCUAUGGAUCGCCAAUCCGAAGACGGCGGGAUCGAUUCCCGU